GACCUCUUAAAGGUCCUAUCUCCAAAUACAGUCCCAACAGGAGGGAGGAAUCUCCCAGUGUUUGUGCCAUGUUUUGAUCUGACUGAAAGCCAUAAACAUAGCCGAAGCCUGGGCCAUCCACAGAAGACCCAAUGUUCUCUUUUUCCAAGUGGGCAUUUUGUAUCUCUGAAGAGUUCUAGACUGAGCUACAUCAGUAGACCUCUGCAUUUAAAGGGAGCAAUUCUCAUCCGAGGAUCCUGAUUCUUCUACUGUAGUGCAAUUUCACCACUCUCUCCAAAUGUCUCCAAGCAAAUUCAAAGCAGCUGAAAAUAACUGCAUGCCUGAGAUUUGGAGAGUAUCAGAGUCUGAAAUGAAGACAACUUGAGGGUCAAUAAACAGGAAGAAAAAGUACUCUACAAGACAGUUUAUCUGAUAACGGUAUGAUGGAAGAUGGCAUCAGGCGGAGGGACCACGAAGCUUCAGGCCAGCCCUGUCCCGAAGUCUUCUGUGCUUCAUGUCGAGUGGUCUGCAGUGGACUGUGUCUGCUUGAAGCGAUGCUCCGGAGGGCUUAUUGUUGUGUGGGGUAAAGCAUGAGAUCACUGAAAAAUGAGAGAAAUCGAGCAUACGAAAUGUGAAGCAUAUCUGUUGACACCAUGCGCUCCCUUUGCUUGCACUGGAUGGCGCAUGGUUUCCGUGCGCAGUGCCUGAGGUGUGGGGCAGGCGAGGCCCAUGCAGCCUGGCUCCUUUCCAGAAGGUUGCUGUUCAUUACAGCUCGAGUGUGCUGGGUUCUGCAGAUAUUAUCUAUUUUAAAUUAACGCUCCGUAAAAGGAAUUUAAAGUUUUCUGAAAAGAAACCAAUGAAUGAAGCUAAUAGUAAUAAUGCAAACACAAGCAAGCUGCCAAGUAAGCCAUUUUUCUAUUACGGAGCCCUUCAUCAGUCAUAUUAUUAAAGAAAAAACAACAAUACUAGUAAUAAUGAUCACCUAUUCAAGACCAAGAGGUUGAUCCUCCAAAAUUCAAACAAGGAAAAAUCUCUCCCAAUCUCUCCUUUCCUCCAUCCCUUUUCUUUACUUCUCAUCCCAUAUAUAAUAUUAUAUAAUGCAUACGUAAUAAAAGACAUUCACUAUUA
rnacentral:lncRNA from 1 species